UACGUAAUACGCAUGCUCCCAUUGAGCGUCUUCAUGGAUUAAAAUCCAUCUAAUGAAUAAUUAAUUGCAGCUAAAUGCAUGCAAUCAGGUGGAGUAACAAUCAGUUGAACAUCUUUGAUAAGAAUCGAUAUAACUCCGAACUUGCUCUAUACAAAACAUGCGGUUCUCAGGUUUGUGUGAAUCAUACUGUUGCAUGAUUGUGUUGCUGGCUUCGUGUUUCAUAUUUGUAGAUGCUAAAACCGAUAAUUGUGUUAAAGAAGGCGUUUUUAAAGCCGUAAGCAAAGAUAAACCGCUGAUUAAAGACGAAAUUUCAAGUCACUAUGUAAAUUCUUGGCUGGAAUGUGGCAGCAAAUGUCUGCGGAAUCUGAACUGCACCAUAUUCAGUUAUAGCACUGAUCCUCAUGAUAAAAUCAACUGCAAUAUCUCAAAGGCGGCGACCGGAGAAUACGAGUUUCCAACACAAGAUGAAAAGAAAACCUGGAAAACCUUUGAGAUACGCAAUAUUGGCCUGGAUAAGUGCUUAAGGUUGCAACUAUGCUUAAAUGAUGGUCGUUGUGGGAGAUCAUGUGAGCCUGAUGGAUAUGUGUGUACAUGUAGAGAUAAUUACCACGGGAAGCAUUGUGAGAACAAGAUACACGAUGAGUUUGACCUUGUCUUCUCCUCCCAAGAACCAUUGCGAUCCUACGUUGAGGUGGAUAAUAUGAUUACAACAGAUCUAACCCAGUUCACGUUCAGCACUUGGUUUAAGAUUUCAAGAGGAGAAAAAAAAUACGACUUUUUCUCCCACAAAACAGACAACAACGUUGCAGACAACAUUGGUUUCCAUAUUGGGACGCCUAAUGGCGGAAUACUCCAUGGUCAGGUUAUGCUUCUUCAGACAAAGUUUAGUACAAGUCUACCACCAAUCAACGAUAAUACGUGGCAUCACCUGAGCGUUGUUUGGGACAAUAUCAACGGUCGACUGGACAUCUUCAUCGACGGAACUCCUCAGUCGUUGACAACCAAAAAAAAGAAGAACAAAUUUGUCCCAGGUGGAGGAAAGUUUGUAAUUGGUCAGCAAUAUAAAGCAUCUGGUUUCAGUGAUAAAUUUAAAGGCUACAUCGGACAGAUUAACGAUCUGAACCUUUGGAAUACAGCGUUCUCGGGAGAGAGGAUAGAAACCAUCGCUAAUUUAGGAGAACGGUUAGAAGGGAAUAUGUUAGCAUGGUCUGAAGUAUUUGAUAAUAUUGUUGGAAACAUACAAGUGGUAAAACCAACAACUCGCCACAUCACAAGUAAGUGCUUUCUUAAUACGCUGUGCUCAAGUCGUUCUAAAUGUUAGAUGGCUAAGUGACAUUAAACCCACAUAAUGCUGAAUAAAAUCUUAAGUCUAAAUAGAGAACCUCUGUUUCAGAUAAAGGUCUGAAUUUUGAACUGGAUUAUCAAUCAAGUGAGGAACAAUAUUAUGUGUUAUCACGUGACCCGGUUGCGUCAUUUGAUCAGUUCUCUAUAUGUGUCUGGAUGAAGAGUCUCCAUGAUGGAAUAUUAGUCUCGUACGAUGUUCCAGGGGAAAUUGGUUCUGCAGUCUCAUUUGGGAUUGACAAGACGUGUCAUCUGUUUGUAUAUGUCAAAGGAAGCCAUUAUAAAAAUUCUAUUUCAGACUCCUCCAUCUUAAACCUGCACUGGCAAUUUCUUUGCGUCGUACGAAAAAACAGCAAAAUCAAUUUCUACCGCAACUCAG